rnacentral:rRNA from 1 species
GACGAACGCUGGCGGCGUGCCUAACACAUGCAAGUCGAGCGGUAACAGGUGUAGCAAUACAUGCUGACGAGCGGCGAACGGGUGAGUAAUGCUUCGGAAUCUGCCCAUGUAGUGGGGAAUAACCAGCCGAAAGGUUGGCUAAUACCGCAUACGACCUACGGGUGAAAGCAGGGGAUCGCAAGACCUUGCGCUAUUGGAUGAGCCGAAGUCGGAUUAGCAGUUGGUAGGGUAACGGCCUACCAAGGCGACGAUCCGUAGCUGGUCUGAGAGGACGACCAGCCACACUGGGACUGAGACACGGCCCAGACUCCUACGGGAGGCAGCAGUGGGGAAUAUUGGACAAUGGGGGCGAACCCU